rnacentral:rRNA from 1 species
GACGUAGGGCGCGAGCGUUGUCCGGAUUUAUUGGGCGUAAAGGGCGCGUAGGCGGCCUUCUAAGUCGAACGUGAAAUCCCCGGGCUCAACCCGGGAACUGCGUCCGAUACUGGAAGGCUUGAAUCCGGGAGAGGGAUGUGGAAUUCCAGGUGUAGCGGUGAAAUGCGUAGAUAUCUGGAGGAACACCGGUGGCGAAGGCGACAUCCUGGACCGGUAUUGACGCUGAGGCGCGAAAGCCAGGGGAGCAAAGCGGG